rnacentral:lncRNA from 1 species
AACUUUCAUCAAAGGUUUAUAAAAAAUGACCACCAUGCUCUUCAUAAUUUCGCCCGUUGCUCCUUCCGAUAUCAGGGAAAUAGAUCGUCUUUUGUUGAAUUGCUUAGCGUAAAGAUGCAUAAGCUUCAUCAUAUAUCCGUAUCGUUUUGAUCGUCUAAUUACAGUCGGAUCGGUAGGGUAAUCUUCGCUAUCUAAUGCAGCUUUCCAGGCAGUACGCUCAGCGUAGACACGGCGAAUAAGGUUGUCAGGCAACUUUGGAGGUACAUCAUCAGAGAUUAAAAUGAAAUAAAGGUAAUCAUGUCGUUUCAUUUGUUUCUUUUCCAAAACCUCUCGGGCUGCCUUACAAGGAUUUUCUACUUGUUCUUGUAUUUUUGUGAGGAUCUCGGGGCUAACGAUACGAGCCUCAUAUCUAGAAAUGAGUUUGUGAAUAGCUCGAACGUUCUCGUUCAGACUGAUACUCAACAAUCUUUGAAACAAAGACUUCAUGCCAAAAGGCUGUGCUAAUAAAGUAUCCAAGAUACGUUUCAUAACAGAGAGGGGAUUUGAAAAUCGCAUUAUAUUUUUUAUAACUGUAUAGGGAAAAAGCUGGUGCAUUUUCUUGAUUUGUAAAUACGUCUCCAACGAUUUUUCCUUCCCUAUAAACGUAUCAUAAAUGGUAGAGGCAAGAUUGACUCUAGCCCAUUCAAUUGUUUUUUGUAAAGAAGGGGAAAGUUCACUUAUACUGUUUUUUUCUUUCAGUUCAGUGAAUAAAGUGGUGAAACCAUCUAAAAAGUGUUAGUCACUUAAAAAAAUAAAAACGCAAUAAUUAUUUUUUUGUUAUCCUUGUCUCACAAUUACAUACUAUUUUCAGUCAAGGAACGUUUAAACUCCUCCAUAUAAACAUCAAGCUCUUUUGCUCUUUGGGAAGCAAUUUCAACAAACUUUUGUUGCUCAAGUUGACGGAUGACAUCUAACUCUUGGCGAAAGUUAAUGUCAGUCAGCUCCGAUGCAGUUAAAGUUACGGGAUCGUCGGUUAAAAAGCUUAAGACUUCUUCAGUUAAGUGAAGUUCAUCAUCAUUCAGAAUGUUCUUUAUAUAUUGCCUCAAUUCAAUUCGCAUACGCUCCUGACGAAGAACAUGUUGGGAAUCUGAUUGUGGAUCGUUCGUAUCAGAGGAACGUGAAGGUAAAGGACUCAACGUUGAGUCUUCAGAAGAAUUCAAAUAUGUGUCAUGGUCAUCUUUGGGAGGAAGACGAGGGACAUAGGCGUUCGGAUACGAUUUCAGCAACAAAUGAUGGAAAUGAGAAAAGUCGGAAUAUUUUCUAGCUAUGAAAAAAGUAUUUUCUUCAUAAGACACUUUAAUCAAGUAUUCCUGGAAUAUUCGUUAGCGGCUUAUGAAGAAGCAAAAGCAAAUUUUCGUAAAAACGGUAAUCGAAAAAUGUGAUUAUUAAAACAAUUAGAUUCGUUUCCUUUUUUAGAACUGCAAAGAACUUACAUAUACUCGCUUUGUACGCAACAUCUUUGCCUGCGUUGACUGUCUGACACCCAAAACAUAAGCUUCCAAAAUAUUUGGUUUUUGUUGGAGUUCAGAUUUAUGUAAGUCCUUCUCCAAUUUUGGGGUAUCUAGCAAUUCAAUGUUAAUGUUCUUUUCAUCCUGGAUACUAUGAAAUGCUCGACUCAUGAGUAGAGUAAGCAUGUUUUGGAACUUGAGCAACCAUUUGUGCAAAUGCGUAGCAUCGGAAUCAUCCGGGAGAACAGAGACAUUGCUUUUUGAGAGAGAUUUUAAUAGCUAACAAAGAAUAUCUGGUUAGUAACAAUCCGCAUACUUUUAAAACAUUUCCAUCCAUUAUUACGUACAUUGCGGAAGUUCACAUUCCAAAGUUGGUUUUGGCUAUCAGGAUCCAAAAACGGAAACGUUAAAAUAAAUCUUUUAAAGAUGAAGCGUAAAACGGGAAUUUGGGAUUUUUCAUAGGGGAUCACGGAUUUUCCUUUUUCCACAAAUGGACUACCGAGAUGAUCCAAAUUGGUGGGUUCGCUCACGAAGUUCAAUUCGUCUGCGAUCAAAAGAGAGAAAAGUUCCUUCUUCAAAUAGUGUCUUUUUAAAGCAUCUAUCUCUUCUGGAGAUGCUGUAUCCAUGUCGUAAAUAUCAAUUAUCCGCUACACGGAAUGCUGUAAGAGGGGAGUACCAGUUCGUAAAUAAUAUAUGUAAUAU